ACCCUCAUGUAUAUGCUACAGCUGACACUGCUUACAACAAUAUGAUGAAAUGUGAGAUUCAAUAAACAGUUCAUAUUGAAUCGUUGGAUCAAAAUUCAUAGUGUGAAUAUUCUUUCUUGAUAAUUCUUCCAGAUGGUAAAACCCAGUCUAUUGUUGUUGGGGGUGAAAGUGGAUCUGGAAAGACAGAAACAUCAAACUUUGCACUGCAGUAUCUGGCAUCUGUUGGAGAUGGUGACAACUGAUAAUUGUGAGAUGUGCAUUCACCUUCCCGAAUCUUUUAUUGUGUACAUAGUUGAGUAUUUACUUAUUUUUUGCUUAUUUGUAUAUAUUAACUUUCAAUGUGUUUUAUAAAAGAUACUACCUUAACAUAUUGUUUUGUAUAAAGGUUUUAUGUAGUAGGAUAAAGGAAAACAACUGUAGUAGUUGGAUACCGGAAAAAAUAAAUUGAAGCAUACAUCUGAAAUGAAAACAACACCCUUUGUUGGUGCAACAAUAGUUUAUUCGUCUUUCACUUCAAAGGAAAUGUCAAGACAUUUUAGGUGUUUGAGAGAUGGAAUUGUAAGUCAGAUCAAGGUGACAAAGAAGGCGAUGGGAGAAAAAGACAUUUCUUCCCCUGAUGCAAUGAGAGGAGAGACUCCCAGACUAAGGGUUCUUGAUCAGACGCUGAGGAAACAACGGGCUUUCCAACAGAUUACGAUGAUGGAUAGCCACCCAUGGUGUCCUCAACGUGGGUUGCCUGAGUGAUAUGUAUCUAUUCUUCGUGCUUGGCUCUUAAUUUGAACACUUCUUCCACCCAUAAGUGAUCGGCUACUAUCAUCUCUCUCGAUCCAAUGAUCUUGUGUGGCCUUUAUUUUACUUCACAAGUGAACAUAACCUGUUAGGGUCACCGUUACAGUAUGGACCUGUAACACCUUUGUCGGACGAAAAGUUGUUGGUGUUCAUUUUCAUUUUCUUUUAGUGAAACCAUAUCGACACAUGUUUGUUACUCUUAAGUAUUAGUCCCCAAAAAUUCUAUGAUAUUUUAUUCCUACUACCUUA